CUGGAAUCACGAGUGUGUCACUUGUGAUAACGUAAAGGAAAAUAAUGAUAUCACUUUACUAUUAGUGUUGUCCAAAACUGGUGCCAGAAGACUCGGUAAUGCCAGAGACGCGAGCGUUAGUCAUCUUGAUCAGGCGUAAAGGGUUUGUAGGCUGCUUUAAAAAUGAAAAUAAUUAAAGCUAGAAUCAAAUAGAGGUCACCGUCAGAUAAUGCUUAGAGUAGGGUUGAUAUCUGUAAAUACUAAGUGGAAUUCUAACUAGCGAAGGCCUUUUCCAAUUAAUGAUUGACGCUGAGAAACGAAGGGGAGGAUAGACAAUAGGAUGUGCGACCAGAAAAGUUUAUUUAAAUAUUGCCAAGUUACUUGGUCUUAUUUUCCAUCUAAUAUGAGUUCACUUUGAUAGAUAAAAUUGGUAACGGUUUUAUUUAAAGCUCAAGGUAUUUUARAGAGAUAUUUUUUCUUUAAUAAGAACUGUUUUCUAAGGGUUAGAGAAAUCGAAUCUAUGUUAUUAAAACUUCUAUAAGUUAGUUACUUUMGCCGAGUCCUAGACUAGAGUUAGAUGGACCCAGAUUUUUAGAAUUAAGUAGGACCUCAGGGAAAACUUCUUAAAUAAAWUUAACGGAGUGGAACAUGGGAGAAUAUUCAGGAGUUAUAAUCGAUUUUAUGUAACCYUAAAAAAAAUCUAUCUAUUCYUCGCAUAAGGGAGUAGGUUUUGGGGAAAAAAUAAAGGGUUUUUAGAAAACUGGAUCUUCGGGUUUUAUAAAAUGGAGAAGGUUCUUUCGUUAUUCAUAAAAAGGUCACUUGGUUUUUUAUAUUGAACAAGCUGAGAGUGAAGUAUUAAAUUUAAUUAAACAAAGAUUAAACUUAUCCCCUAGUAUACUCUUUAGAGCUAAAAGAAAGUUCAAUUUUAAGGACACUUAUUCUUUAACGAUAUCUGCUAAAAAAGAUAUAAGAGCUUUAAUUAAUUUCUUUGAAAAUCCUUUAUUAGCUCCAUUAGAUGGUCAAAAAAAUAUACAAUUUGAAAAUUGGAAAAACCUUUAUAACAAAAAAAAUACUUAAAAAAAUCUAUUUACCUGUCAAAGACAAAACUACAAAUUAUUUUUACUUUAUAAUGGCUUGAGCCGUAUGCGGUGAAAGCCGCACGUACGGUUCUUUGAGGAGGAAAAGCUCGUGAGAGCCUACCUUGCUCAAUUAGAUACCCUGGCAUCCCUCUCUGUCAACGAUGAAUGGUAGUUGCUAGUUCUAGAAGCUAGUGGCGAUGUUAACACGUUAACCAUUCCGCCUUGUGAGUACAAUUGCAAAGUUGAAAACAAAAAAAUUACUCG
rnacentral:rRNA from 1 species